GGUAAAAUGACUGAGCAUUAGGUGAUAAAUUGUAAAUUUAUUUAGGAGGAAAAUCCUCUUUUACCA
rnacentral:tRNA from 1 species